GAUUCCAAGCUGAAGUAUUCUUAUGGCAAACAGCUACUGCUUUAGCCUUUGUUCCAUCAGCACCAACCAAAGAAACCAUGUAUGACUCUGUGGUUUCUGUUUUAUGACAGUAGAAAACUGCAUAUGCAUAAUUCUGCUUGUGGCAAACUACAGCAUCAGAUUUCCCAUUUCCUAUUUUCUUGGCUCCUAGAAUUGUGUAUUUCUGCAUUUGAGUUUCCUUCUCUGUCUCUGUUGACACUGGUUGCACUUUGUUUCCUAACUUUGAUGUGCUGAAAUCAACCAUGGAUUCUAAUGAAGUAGCACAAUACUUCUCUUCUCCUUUAAUACCUGUAGUUCGAAAAUAAAAUGUAUCAAAAAGUAAGAAAGAGAUAUUGUCCUUAGCCAUUUUUCAAAGGGACAAAUUUAUAGAAUAGAAAGAUGGAGCUAUUCAAAGCAUCCAUCUUAUUUUGUAUAUAGACUUGUUCGUUUAAAUAUACAACCUCAGUUUACAUGUUAUAUUUAAAUUCUAAGUUUUAAAUAAACCUGAAAAUUUCAAGUCUUUAGUAGUAGUAUAUAAAGCCUUUGAACUCAUUUUCAUCUUCUAACAUGGGACUAUUUCCACAUCAUAGUAUACAUUAGCCUUCAAUCACUUUUAAUUGAUCACUAUGCUUAAAAUAUACUACUUGUCAAUUUUAACAAAUCAAGAGAAAGACAAUUUUUUUCUGUUUAACACUUUUCAUUUAUUACUCAUUUCUCAAGAAUUUUUGAAAUGCAAAAAGAAAUGCAAAAAGGCAAUUUAACAUUAUUAGGGUUUAUAUAGUAAAAUAUAUGCUACAAUUAUUAUUUUGUAAUAGGCUCAAUUUUUGACGAGUAAAACUGAACGAAGGGAGUACAAAAUUGGGAGUUUAAGUACACCAUCAGGCGAGUUGAUGACAAUAACAUGUAACGAUCUUCAUAUCAAACCUAAUAUUAUGAUCAGAAAAAUAGAGUAAUAUAUAAUCAAUUAAAUUGCACUGAUAUAGUGUAAAAACCUUUUUCUUUUGGGGCCCGAAUUGAAGGAUAGAAGCUUUUUACACACUCAAUAUAUACACAUAAAUCCAUCUAAUUUAACAAUACCUGGCUGUUCACAUUCUUGUACAGUCUGCUUCAAGAUCUGAGCUUCUUCAGAGUCGGGUUUAACUGAAAACUGAUUAAGAAUUUCUGGCAUCUUGUUUGACGAAAAGGGAAUAGAAUUUGCGACUUGGCGAGGCAAGAAAGUGGCGGCAGUAUUUGUAGUUUUCACAAAUUGUAAGUUCAUGUUACUCCCUUGGUGCAAGUCCUUCUCGAGGAAAAAAAGAGCGACGUUUGGGUUGUCGUGAAGUUGAUCAUCUUUGGCGGCGUAAUUGUAAACAAACGGUGAUGGUCCGGGGCGUACACCGACGUAGACCGGCGGCCUUCCGUGGUGGCCGGGGGUGGUCACGCCCACUCCUCCUUUGCCGACGCCGACGUGGGUUCCGCCCCCGGUGCUUACGCCGACGCCUUUGUGGCCGACGUUGACGUUGGUGCCCCCCCUGCCGGAGUGACCCUUGCCGGUGCUUACGCCGACGCCUUUGUGGCCAACGUUGACGUUAGUGCCGCUGCCGGAGUGCCCUUUGCCGGUGUUGACGUUUACUCCGCCUUUGCCUAC
rnacentral:lncRNA from 1 species